rnacentral:rRNA from 1 species
GACGAACGCUGGCGGCGUGCUUAACACAUGCAAGUCGAACGGAAAGGCCCAGCUUGCUGGGUACUCGAGUGGCGAACGGGUGAGUAACACGUGGGUGAUCUGCCCCUGACUUUGGGAUAAGCCUGGGAAACUGGGUCUAAUACCGGAUAUGACCUUACAUCGCAUGUUGUUUGGUGGAAAGCUUUUGCGGUUGGGGAUGGGCCCGCGGCCUAUCAGCUUGUUGGUGGGGUAAUGGCCUACCAAGGCGACGCCGGGUAGCCGACCUGUGAGGGUGAGCGGCCACACUGGGACUGAGACGAGGCCCAGACUCCUACGGGAGGCAGCAGUGGGGAAUAUUGCACAAUGGGCGCAAGCCUGAUGCAGCAACGCCGCGUGAGGGAUGACGGCCUUCGGGUUGUAAACCUCUUUCACCUGGGACGAAGCGUGAGUGACGGUACCUGGAGAAGAAGCACCGGCCAACUACGUG